rnacentral:rRNA from 1 species
GACGAACGCUGGCGGCGUGCUUAACACAUGCAAGUCGAGCGGAAAGGCCCUUCGGGGUACUCGAGCGGCGAACGGGUGAGUAACACGUGAGCAAUCUGCCCUUGGCUCUGGGAUAGCUCCGGGAAACCGGAAUUAAUACCGGAUAUGACUUCCUCCUGCAUGGGGGGUGGUGGAAAGGUUUUCCGGCCAGGGAUGAGCUCGCGGCCUAUCAGCUUGUUGGUGGGGUGAUGGCCUACCAAGGCGACGACGGGUAGCCGGCCUGAGAGGGCGACCGGCC